CCUCAGUACUCGUCCUGGUCUUCUUGUUGAUGCUCUUCAAUCUCAUCGUCCUCAGGGGGUGCGAAUCCUUCCUGGAGGGUGGGAGAGAGAGGAAAGUGGUGGGCCAGGCAGGCCAGGCAGGGCUUCUCAGGUUCUGUAAGUAGCUGAAGAGCAAGGGGUCAGGAGUCCAGGAGCCCUGCUAAUGGGUGACCCUGGGCUAGUGACUUCACCUCUCUCUCAUCAGUAAAUGUUCUCCACGGUCCCUUCUGGCCCUAUCGCGCUUCUGGUCUUAGGGCCAGGCCAGACUGGGGAGGGCCCAAUGGGCCUGGGAGUGCUCACCUCUGUGGCAUAGAGGAUGCCAAUGAUGCCUGAGAUAACAGGGCUGUUUUCACUUUCAUGCUCCUGGCAGAUGAGCUCGAUGUCACGAAGUUUGCUGAAGUAGAAGUCACGUUCCUUCU
rnacentral:lncRNA from 10 species